rnacentral:rRNA from 1 species
GUGUCAGCCGCCGCGGUAAUACGUAGGGUGCAAGCGUUAAUCGGAAUUACUGGGCGUAAAGCGUGCGUAGGCGGUUAUACAAGACAGGCGUGAAAUCCCCGGGCUUAACCUGGGAAUGGCGCCUGUGACUGUAUAGCUAGAGUGUGUCAGAGGGGGGUAGAAUUCCACGUGUAGCAGUGAAAUGCGUAGAGAUGUGGAGGAAUACCGAUGGCGAAGGCAGCCCCCUGGGAUAACACUGACGCUCAUGCACGAAAGCGUGGGGAGCAAACAGGAUUAGAAACCCCAGUAGUCC